GCGGCGGGACGGGGAUGGGAGCGAUUGGCGGGUGGACGGGGACGGGGAGCGGAGCCAUGGGAGGAGUGGGGGCGGGGGCCACAAUUUUUUUAAAAAAAUUGCUUUUCCUCAAUUUGGUAAUAUUGCAACGGAAGAAAAACAUCAAAUAACCCUAGAAAGUGAUGACAUAAUGUUACAUAUCUAUUUAUAUUUAUCUAUUUUAUAAAAUUUAAAGUCCAUAAUUUAUUUUAUUGAUAACCAUAACAUCUAUGGUAUUAGAUAGUUAAUAUUUACAAUAAUAUGUAGCUUAAAGACAUAUUUAUUUAAUAAUAAAAAUAGAAAAUAGUUAAAUCUUAUCUCACUCUAAUAUUACCUCUUAAUAUGCCUCAGUAUUAUAUUAAAACAUGAGAAGUUUGAUGCUAGCAUUAUUUUUUUAAUUUAGAUUAGGAUUGCUAUGAAAUAUGAAUCAAGCAUCACAUUAAAUAGGCUACCAUUAAAUUUUUAUAAUAAUUGGAGCAAGAUAACUACAAUUUUAAUUUUAGAGUAAAAAGCAUAGGCAAGCAUUUUCAAAAAAAAGUGUACUAAAAUUUGUGAUAUUUUUUAUUUACUGCAUGGAUCUACAUAUGUAGAGCUGAACAAAAUUUGUUUUAUAAUUUUUAGAUUUUUCUAUGAAUUACUAUGUAUUUAUUAAUUCUCAGCCGAUUUAAAAAAUAAAAUAAAAGUAAAUUGAAGAUUUUAUAUUGGUAACCCUAGAAAAUUUUUUAUUUUUUUUCUACCUUCCAUCGCUGGGCUGAUUGGGCCUACAGAGGCGAGAGCGGACUAAUAUAAGAUUUUGCAUUAGGAACUCUAGAAUGUUUUUUAUUUUAUUUUUGCCCUUCUAGAAACGUUGGACGGAGGAGGCGAUCAGUAAACCGAACACGGACAGGAUUAGGGGCAGAAGAAAAUAUUUGGCAAACUGAAAUUUUCGCUCUUUAUAUAUAUAUAUAUAUAUAUAUAUAUAUAUAUAUAUAUAUAUAUAUCUCCAACAGUCGUGCGUGCAAUGUUUUUUUUUUGCUUGGCGUUCUCUUUCGAAAACAAAUGCUUUUUUCCUUGCCACCGCAAAUGUUUUUUUUCCUACACAUUCUCUUUCAAAACAGAAUGGGUAGGAAAACCUAUCUAGGAUAUGGACCGAGCCUCACUGCUGGUUUUUCGAGAACCCUAAUCAUUUCCUAAUUUUAAAGCUAAGAACCGGCAGUGAAGAGUUACCAGUGUCAGUUCACUAGCAACCGUCGCUAAUGGGCCGGCACAGGUCCGUUUCUAUAGCGGUGUAAGCCACUCGACCAAUCAUAUGCACUCCUAAUUUGCAGUCACUUUUUAGAUUGCCAUCAUGUAGAGCUUCUUAGACUAUCUCCAACAAUCGUCACCCAAAAUACAAAAUCCAUUUGUCCUUUGGGUAGCGCUACAGUUAAAAGGUUUCAUACCUAUUUUUAGUCUUCUCCAAUCACAAGACCUAAAAGACAAUAUUCUCUGCAAAUGGGUCUCGAAAAGAGAGGAUAUCCAAAUUUGGGUUAUGGCUCUUCUGAUACCCAAAGUGGGUCUUCUGUAUGGGUACUCUGUUGGAGGCUAUGGGUAUUGUGUUGGAGACCCAUUUUGGGUUUGGGUUCCCAAAUGGGUGUGGUGUUGGAGACAGCCUUAGCAACUUUAAUUUAGGUCCUGUUUAGAUUGGAGAUAAAAAAAUUUUGGGUGUCACAUCGGAUGUGUCGGAAGGAUGUCGGGAGGGGUUUUUAGAAACUAAUAAAAAAACAAAUUGCAUAGAUCGUCACGAAACUGCAGGACAAAUCUAUUAAGCAUAAUUAAUCUGUCAUUAACAUAUGUGGGUUACUGUAGCACUUAAGGCUAAUCAUAGAGUAACUAGGCUUAAAAGAUUCGUCUCGCGAUUUUCAACUAAACUGUGU
rnacentral:lncRNA from 1 species